rnacentral:rRNA from 1 species
AUUGAACGCUGGCGGCAUGCCUUACACAUGCAAGUCGAACGGCAGCACGGACUUCGGUCUGGUGGCGAGUGGCGAACGGGUGAGUAAUAUAUCGGAACAUACCUUGUAGUGGGGGAUAACUAUCCGAAAGGAUAGCUAAUACCGCAUACGAUCUAAGGAUGAAAGCGGGGGAUCUUCGGACCUCGUGCUAUAAGAGUGGCCGAUAUCUGAUUAGCUAGUUGGUGAGGUAAAGGCUCACCAAGGCGACGAUCAGUAGCUGGUCUGAGAGGACGACCAGCCACACUGGAACUGAGACACGGUCCAGACUCCUACGGGAGGCAGCAGUGGGGAAUUUUGGACAAUGGGGGCAACCCUGAUCCAGCAAUGCCGCGUGAGUGAAGAAGGCCUUCGGGUUGUAAAGCGCUUUUGUCAGGGAAGAAACGGUUGUGGCUAAUAUCCAUGGCUAAUGACGGUACCUGAAGAAUAAGCACCGGCUAACUACGUGCCAGCCGCCGCAGUAACAC